rnacentral:lncRNA from 1 species
UGAAGUUUGAGCUCAAACGGAUGUUCAGAGAGUUCCGGCGAAAGAUAUCAGAUUUCGAACUGCCCGGGAGUGAAUAGUGUUGUGGUGUUGACUAAAGAGGAGUGUUGACUCCUCUUCUUCUCCUUCAGCCGCACACACACCACACACACACGCGCGCAUGGAGGGGGAGGGAAACCCUCCCUUCUCUCUCUAGAGAUCUCUCUCAUCUCUCUAAAUCUCUCUCUAAAAAUUGGAGGGUUGGUGGAGAAGAUGCUUGCGAACGCAUUGGAGGCGACGGAUCGAGCUUUUGUGCGCCCGUUGGAGCGGCGUAUUUUCGUCGUGGCGUUCAUAUUGAGGUAAGCUUUUAGGAUUUGGUUUAAUCCUUAGUUUUAAGUGUUCUAAUAGCCUCUAAUGAGCAUUCUAAACAUGUUUGCCCCAUUUGAUUUGGAUUAUUUAGAGGUUAAUUGCAUAUUAGGGCUCCGAAUGGGGUUUUAUAAAAUAUAAGGGUUUGAUCUAAUUUGACCCUCCGUAAACCGAAUUGCUAGGUAAACGAACGCGUUGGCGAAGUCGGUUCGGCGAUUCGUCGAGCCGGUGCGAAGUUAUUAAAGAAACGGACGUUUAGGCUUCGUUUUCGCCUGGAGGGCCGAGGCGACGUCGUAAAAUCCUGGAAACGGAUUUGAAGCACCGUAACAGCAAAACGAAGACCCUUUUUGCCCGAGGUUGCGAAGCGAUGCGCGGUUGGUGCGCAAUUGCAUGUUCCGGCGGAACCGAGCACCGGAUGUCGCGGGAGGCCGAUUACAAGUGUCGACAAGCAAUCGGAAUGCGAAAUGAGGUGGGUUGUGCUUACCGAAGCGACUAGGUCGCCCUUUAUGUUUAAGAAACAUACGAGUUCACAUUGAUGCAUAUAGUUGUAUUGGUAGGCUUACAUGAUAAUAUGAAUGCUUGAAACAUAUUAUGUAGUUGAUAUUACCUACCAAUGAGAUGAAAUGUAUAAUGAAUUAAAUGGUAAAAGAAUGCAUAAGAUGCUAAGUAUAGACUACUUUGGAUGAUGAUUAAAUGUAUGUUGACAUAUCAUAUAAUGUGCAUGAUGACAUGUUGUGAAUUAACAUAUUGUGGAUUAUGUUAAAUAGAAACAUAUACAUGAUGACAUAUAUUGCAUAUGAUAGAAGAAUUAUACAUGUUGCCAUAUUGUGGAACAUAGUGGAUGGAUUAUGCAUGUUGAACUUGGUCGAUUAGAGAAAUUGACAUUGGAAAACAAGAACACAUCGAGUGGCAUUAAUGUAGUGUAUUUGACACUAGAGGUUUGAGAACCUAGGGAUAGGUGAAUCCCUUAGAAAAUGCCUUGUGUAUAAAGAACUUAUUAAACCUAAGUACCCUCACAUGGAGAGGUUGUCGAUGAGUUAUUGAGAUGUUGACCCUAGUUGUAGGGCAUCCUCACUUAGAGAGGAUUUGAUUGGGUCGUUGACUCUAGUUGUAGAGC